GAUCCAGGGGUGCUGCAGCCCCCGGCCAGCGCCCCGUCCCCUGGCCCAGCUCCCCGAGGCCAGGGUUCAGAGCCUGAAAAGUGGCCUGUCCUGGUGUUCUGGCCUGGCCCCGGGCUUCACAGGACCUGCUGAGCCAAGUCGGCUGGCUGUUUAUCGUCUGGGUGACAGUUGGGAGGCCUCGAUGUCCUCUCGUCGCCGAGCUCAUGGUCAUAGCCUGAGUGGGAUUCUAAGUUCCCCAAGUCCUUUGGUGGCGUGCGGGCUGGGCUUUUACAGGGUGUCCCCUUUAGUGAAGGCUGCCCGACCCCAAGAUUGUUGUGAAGGCUGUGAGUAGCCGGAAGUAUUCUGGCAAAACUGUCCAAAUCACAGAGACUAAACUGAUUAAUAAUUUACCCUCCCCCUCCACCUACUUCACAAAGAACAAAGUAGCAAAUUUUGACUGAAAAUGCUCUGUGCAGCUCAAAAAAGACAGAAAGAAAGCUAGAUAGAGGUGAAACGGUUAUGGGUGAGUUUGCCUGAGAAAUAUCCUGUGGAAACUUAUCAAAAUAGAGCCUGGCCUCUUAGAGGUACGUGAUGUUUGUUUCAGGUCCAGAGAACAAAAUCCCUCCUACAUGGGUUAGUAGCAUUUGACCAAGUUGAGGCUGGAAGGAGCCUUCCUGGGCUGUCAGCUGAGUGUAUUCGGGCACCUUCGUGGUUCUGUCAUUUGAGAGCCUGGCUGCCUAGGAGAGGUUCAGGUGUUCCUCAGUUUUCGUAGUUCCCUUCCUGAGAUUCAGGUGUGGAAGAAAGCAAGUGAAUUGCUUCUUACGAAGACCCGGAGCCUCCUUGUUUCUAGCCCAGCAGCCCUGGCAGAGACUCCUGUCGUAGAGUCCUCUGGUGGCCACGCUUUUCCAGGAAACACUGAUGUGGAAAUUUGGCUGUUGGAUGUCUGGGGCAAAGGGAGCGUGAAUCAGACCACCCAGGGGACAAGCAGAAUGAUCAGCUAGGACAGCUGUGGGUGUGUCAGUCACAGUUCGUGGCAUGUGUGUUGCCUAAGGUGCUUUCAGACAAGUACCCAUCUGUGUGAGUAGUGCCCCUAGAGGGGCUUACGUUUGUUAAGCACCUAUUAGGCACCAGGCAUGGUCCAUACAGUGUCACCAAUUCCCCAGACAGCCCUGGGAAGGGGGAUGCACUAUCCCCAUUUUACAGGCAGGCAAACUGAAUGUGAGACAGGUGAAGGCAGUUGGCCAGGGAGUAAUGCUUGCGUAGCUGGUUAGCAGCUCAGCUGGCUGAAUGCUACCCUCUGUGCCUGUAUCUCUUUUAAACCCAGUAUCCUUGGCCCAGCUGUACCAGAAGGCAAGUGAAGAAAGGGUCUGGAUCCCUGUGGGAAAGGGCCAGUGCAGCUCCCAAGGUCCACCUGUCAGUGACCACAUCCUUGAGGGAGGCAGGGACGCUGGGGCUCCAAGGAGGGCAGCUGCUCCUUCCUACCUGGAGCAUCUCUCCUGCGAAGGCUGGAGUUUGAUUUCGCUCAGAGCCCGCUGGUUUUCCCACAGGUGGAGACAGGAGUGGGCCUGAGCCCCGCGACUCUUUUCAGGGCCAAAGCAGACGCAUCUUCCACGGGGAGGAUCAUAGAUCAGGCCCUUUUGUCUGUGGGAACCUCUUCCCUGAGCAGGCUGGACCUCAAGGCUGAGGCUGGGGAGGGAUGGAGGAGAUGCAGGUAGGGUCCCUUGGAAUGGGGUGACUCCCCAGAGACAGGCUGGGUCAGGGGAGAAUGCAGAACUCCUGAGGGGGUUGCCGGCGGUGGGCUGGCCAGCAUAUGGCACUGGAGGAGUGCCAGCCAGGUGUUAGUGCAGAAGCCAGGAGGCCAGAGAAGGGCCCACUUACUAGAGCUGGGAAGCCUCUGCUAGUGGCAGCCUGGCACUGAGCUUGCUGGGGGCAUGGAGUUCAGAAGGCCAGGGGAGCUGUCGCAGAUACAAGUACAGACAGGAGGGGCUCCACCAGACUCCUGCGGCAGGAGUGGGAUGGUGGGUGCACAGCUGAGAAUGGCACUGCCAGCAUAACCCCCACCCCAGUGCACCGUUUGCUCUCUGGCGGAAAGAGUGAUGUCAGGAAACCCCAUCUUGGCAAGAGUGUGCUAAAGAUUGAGGGCAGUGUGUGCAAAAUGCACACGCCCCAAGGAUUUCCUCCUUGUUCACGUGAAAAAAGGGGAACUGAGAGGCCCUGGUUUGCAGGAAGCAUACCCCGUGGCGGGGAGUUGCGAGCUAACUGAGACGGCCCAAAGAUCCACCCUGGUGGCCUGCCCCUGCGGAGAGGCCAGUUUGGUGGAGGUUCUGGUCCUGGUUCCUGGGGAAAUCUCUUUGGUCAAGACCCCAAGGAAGUGGGGGGACAGGACAGAGCGUACUUGGCUUACAGAGGGCGGCCUCCAGGAAAACCUCUGCCAAGCAGAGCUGGGGGGAGCCCUGGUGGGCAAGGACUGGCCACAAGGAUCCUGCUAUUCAGUGAGUGGGGCAGCCUUUCAGAGGGUGCCAGGUGGAGGGGAGCCAGCUCCUCCCAGAGAAGGGAGGAGGCCUAACAGAUAAGACCCACAGCUGCCCAGGAGUUAUCAAGGCCCUUAGAUAAAAGCAGCCAGGAACAUCUUUCUUGAGGGUCUGUUCAGCCACGAAGAGGUCAAGGAUCUGAGAGAGACGUGGUCUAGGGGGAGCUGAGGUGAUGCUCUUCCCUCGAACGAAGAGAAGAAAUUAGGGCUCUGGAAGAUACUGUCAGGCAUCUGCAAAAACCACCAGAGCUUUUGGGAAAUAAUUCUGGAGGGUAAUAAGACUGGAAUGCAUACACAACAGAGCUUUCCUUGACAGAGGUGCUGUUCUCAGGAUCCACGAUCUGGCUGCAAGGUCGCUUGCAAGGUACUCAAGAGGUACUAACGGAAUAUGACACUGCCAGCUGGACUAGUCAGCUGCAGAGGGUCACCCUUGCACCUCCUUCCCUUCACCUUCUGUUCUCCCCUUUUGGGUUCAGGUGAUUGUGCUGCAGGAGUUUACAAGGUGCGGCUGGGGCAGAGAGAUGUGCUGUGGAUCAUUAAGGGAUAGUAUUUUAUCCAUUGCUAUGUAACAAGCCACCGCAAAACAACCGUUUGUUAUCAUCUCACACAUUUCUGUGGGUUGACGGGGCUCAGCCGGGCGCUUCUUCUGCCGGUCGAUCUUGGUGUCUCUCACGCGUUUGCAGUUAGAUGGUGGCCGCAGCUGGGGUCCUGGAGGCUCAGCUGGGCUGGCACCUCCAAAAUGGUGUCUUCACUCACAUGCCUGGUGCCUUCCAUCUGGCCUUUCUCUCUGCGUGGUGUCGUCCUCGGGUGCCUUUCUGCAUGGCCUUUCUCUUCAGCAGGGCAGUUGGAGUGUUUAACAUUCAGGCUUCUUAACACAAAAGUGCAAGUUGCCAGGUCUUCUUAAGGCGUAGGCUCAGAACUGGCGCACCACUUCUACCACAUUCCACGGGUAAAGUGAGUAACAGUGUGGGAGGGAGGUGCAUACAGGUGUGUAUACAGCGAGGCAAGGUUCAUUGAGGCUAUUUUGCAGACUAGCUACCUCAGAAGGGUAGGGAGAACACCCUGGGACAGAUGAUCCAUUAGAGAGGAAGCAGCGCCAGGCCAGACCCUAGAGAGAGCCUGGGGUGGGGAUGGGUAGAACGCACAGAUUUGGCCAUUCUGCUAGGAAAUUCUCCAUCGCCAUCCUUGCAAGUUUUUGUUGUUGUUCGUUGUUUGUUUUUGUUUUUAAAGUCGCCAGGGAUUUCUUUAUAAAGGCCACACAAUAAAUGGUGCAGCUGAUUUUGAAACUAGAUUUUCCUGUCCCUGAAGCCUGGGUCUGUCCCCUGGGCCACCGACAGACCAGCCCAGCUUUUUCAGGGUGGGGCUGUUUGGUGCUGGUUGUUAAUGGACAUGGUGCCUCCGAGCUGCCUGACAUCUAGUAGAUGCUUGAUGUGUUAUACAAAUUGAUUUUAAUACAGGGCCUUUCUUUCUGUUACGUGGAAAUUACCUAAAAUGGGCGUGACCUUGUUCCUCACACCCGUAUUUUUUAAGGCGGUCGUCAGCUCUUUCACAAAAGGCAUAAUUAGGGUUGGUGGUUUGCAGAGCAUGUAGCUGUGAUCGAAAAGAUUACGGUGCUUUCUGCCAUCUUCACGAAGUCAUCCUGCCCUUUGACUUGGGGGCUGUGGCCCGCGUUUGUGGCUCCUGUGCUGUGUGAAACUCUCCCUUUGGCCCAUACUCUGUCUGCCUCUGAUCCGGAGGGGCGUCCCCCCUCUGCACUGCUCUGUGCUGGUCUGGUCAACUGGCCACCCCUCAGGACUUCAAAGCAGUCGGCCGGGCUUGUUGGAGUCUCUGGAUUCGGGGCAUCUUCACAAAAGUUCCCUUAGCAACAAGUCGGCAGGAAUCCCUGACAUCUGUUAACCACCACAUGAAUCCCUGCAGUCCAUUACCAGCUGGAAACAUGAAUGGGACGCUGACCCGCUUGUACUCUUCCCAGCCUGAAAAAGCCCAGCUUUUAUCUGACAGCCUGGUCGACCUCGUCUACGAGGACGGAUGCUGGUCCCUACGUGGCCGGUGAAAGAAGAGGUUUGGUAAACCAGGAAGGCUUGGAUACCGGUUAGGUGUCGGGAUUUUUGUCGGGCCGCUCCAGGGGACGGUGUUCUCCCAGCUGCCCGCUUAUCACUCCCAGCAGGCAGGCGGCACGUGACAAGCUUUCCACCAGAAUGUCAGCACGGGUCCCCUGGUCCUUAAUUGCACAAUGAGUAGAUUCCGCUCUUGCCUACGGCGGCAAGGCUUCUGGGUGGUGUUUGCCCCGUGGAGAGAAGUAGAAAUGGUGGCCAGCAGCUCGGCCUGGCUUGUCCUUUGGAGGACCAGAGCAUGGGUGACACUGUGUGGGUUCAGUUGCGACAGGUGUGUGAAUUGUGCCAGGUUCGUGUAGAUUCCUCAGAGGACUCACCCACCUCCUCCCUCCACAUUUAGUGUCUCUCCUGUCUUCCAUCUGGUAAAGAUCUGUUUUAUUAGGUUAACUUCCCGGUUCACUGUAUUCCCCUCGGUUCUUGAGCUGGUCGCCAGACUCAGUCCCCAGGGACUUACAUGUCCAAGCUAAACUCUUAAUCGCUCCCUUCCUUUCACCCUCUUUUCCCCCCACCCUCCAAACCCUUGUGCAUGUCGCCACCAUCUCUCUACCGCGUCACCUGACUCUGCCCGCCUCUUACCUUUUCUCUCCUGUUCAUUCGGGUGGCAAGCCUGGUCUGCUCUCCCUGAGAAACGUUUCUCAGAGCCUUCUCCUUCUGCACCUGCCUUGGCAAACUUUUUCUGUAAAGGGCCAGGAAACAUGUUAGGCUCUGCAGGCCAAGAGGCACACUCGAGUUACAGCUGCAUCACUGCGAUGUGUAGUGCGCCGCAGGCAGUGAGAAGCCGUGAGAGCGCCCAUAUGGUCUCUGUCACAGUGGCUCAGCUCUGCCCGCGGAGCACGAAACAGCUAGAGAGGAGCCCCAAACCGACGGGUGUGGUUGUGUUCCGAUAAAACUUUAUUUAUGGACACUGAGGUUUGAAUUUGUGCCAUGCAAUAUCCUUCUUCUUUCGCUCUGUUCUCAACCAUUUAAAGAUGGAUAGGCCAUUCUUAGCUUAUGGGCUGUGUGUAGUUUGCCAGUCCCUGUUCAAAAGUUGAUCGUUCAUUCAACAACCCCUAAUUGAGUGCCGACGAUGGGAUGUGAGCACUGCUGGAGGUGAAGCAGUGAUAAGACAUAGAAAAGACGCUUACCUUUUAGUUGGGGAGAUGGUAAACUAGCAAAAAAAAAAAAAAAAACCAUAUAUAUAUAUAUAUGUGUGUGUAUGUAUACUUUUAAAGUGGUAUGGGGCCAAGAAAACAGGGUACUGUGACAAACUAGGGGUGUGGGGUGCAGGAAGGGAGGGGGUCCCAGAAACUGUCAGAGAAGGCUUCCCCAAGGAGGGUAUGUGUGAGCAGAGACCUGCGUGAGGCACAGGAGCCAGCCGUGUGAGGAUCUGGGGGGGGGGGGUGUGAGUAUUUGCACUACAGAUGCAGGUAACCCUGAAGAGCGGUGUAUGUCUGAUAGAUUUGAGAGAACCAGAAUAUUCCAGAAUGGUUAGAGGGCAGGGAGCGAGGACGAGAGAAGUUGGGAUGUGACAGGGAGGCAGGUAAGUUGGAUAGCUGUCUCUCCCCCACCCCCACGUGGGCAACUUGAUUUUUCUCUACGAACUUGUAUUUUGAAUCGCUAUCCUGCGUGGCGGAAGAAAUGAACUGUCGAAUAAUUUGAGGCUGCUUGCCUUUCCCCAGGUUUGCAUUUAUGGUCUGGGGGGCUGAACUGCAAAAUCAUCAUUCCAAGGGCCCAGCUGUUCCUUGAUGUCCUUUGGGCAUCUGCUGAGCUGUGCUCCCCGCGUGGGUCUCUGUCUAUCCAUACUGUUGCCAGAGACAGUCUCCCGUCUGAAGGGUCCCUCCCUCUCCUCCUCCUCAGCAGUUUUGGGAGGACAAAAUUGGAGUGUCAUUCUCUGACACCGACUGAAGCUUCUUUUGCCUCCACUGGUGUGUUGGUAAAUGUUUAACAAUCAGCUUUGGCGGAUGGAGGGUGGGAGGUGAAGUGAGAGAAGUUCUGAUUUGUCGCGUUUGCCAAUUUCUGGGGUGUAAGUACUCCUGCCAUGGCUGAUUUGAAGCUACCAGUGGCUUCUUUUAAUUGAAUACAUUUGACAUGCCAUCUUGUGUAAAGUUAAGGUAUACAACGUGUUAAUUGGAUACGUGUAUAUAUUGUAAUAUGAUAGAGAUAUUUAGCACCUCUGUCACAUUCCCUAAUUAUCCUUCCUUUUUAGUGGUUGGUAGCUUUCGGUUUGAUUGAUAGGUUGGCGUGCUCUGAUUUGUUCUGGAAAGCUCACCUGGGCUGUAGUGUGGAGGACGGAUUUGCAGAGGGUAGGGAGGGAAGCAAGCAGACGAGUUAGGAAGCUGGGAGCAGGUUGGUGGGAGUGGAGGUGCUGAGAGAGAAGUGGAUGGAACUGGAAUGUAUUUUGAGGGUUGAGUCAAAAGGACUUGCUGGUAGAUUGACUGGGGAGGGCGAGGGGGCCUCACCUCUGCAGGUGAGUUGUGAUGCACUGUCCCUGUGGUAUUGUCCUCAUCUGUGAAUCGCCCAUUCUGCCACCAGAGACCUCUUCCUUUAAAAAAAAAAA